rnacentral:rRNA from 1 species
UACGUAGGGGGCAAGCGUUGUCCGGAAUUAUUGGGCGUAAAGAGCUUGUAGGCGGUUUGUCGCGUCUGCUGUGAAAUUUCGGGGCUCAACCCCGAACUUGCAGUGGGUACGGGCAGACUAGAGUGUGGUAGGGGAGACUGGAAUUCCUGGUGUAGCGGUGGAAUGCGCAGAUAUCAGGAGGAACACCGAUGGCGAAGGCAGGUCUCUGGGCCGCAACUGACGCUGAGGAGCGAAAGCAUGGGGAGCGAACAGG